rnacentral:rRNA from 1 species
CAGGCCUAACACAUGCAAGUCGAACGGUAACAGGAAGCAGCUUGCUGCUUCGCUGACGAGUGGCGGACGGGUGAGUAAUGUCUGGGAAACUGCCUGAUGGAGGGGGAUAACUACUGGAAACGGUAGCUAAUACCGCAUAACGUCGCAAGACCAAAGAGGGGGACCUUCGGGCCUCUUGCCAUCGGAUGUGCCCAGAUGGGAUUAGCUAGUAGGUGGGGUAACGGCUCACCUAGGCGACGAUCCCUAGCUGGUCUGAGAGGAUGACCAGCCACACUGGAACUGAGACACGGUCCAGACUCCUACGGGAGGCAGCAGUGGGGAAUAUUGCACAAUGGGCGCAAGCCUGAUGCAGCCAUGCCGCGUGUAUGAAGAAGGCCUUCGGGUUGUAAAGUACUUUCAGCGGGGAGGAAGGCGACAAGGUUAAUAACCUUGUCGAUUGACGUUACCCGCAGAAGAAGCACCGGCUAACUCCGUGCCAGCAGCCGCGGUAAU